rnacentral:rRNA from 1 species
UGAGGAAUUUUGCUCAAUGGGCGCAAGCCUGAAGCAGCGACGCCGCGUGAACGAUGAAGUCUUUCGGGAUGUAAAGUUCUGUCAGCAGGGACAAUAAUGAUGGUACCUGCAGAGGAAGCACCGGCAAACUAUGUGCCAGCAGCCGCGGUAAUACAUAGGGUGCAAGCGUUGUCCGGAUUUACUGGGCGUAAAGAGCGUGUAGGUGGUAAGACAAGUCAAAUUUUAAAUACUCUUGGCUCAACCAGAGUUUGGAUUUGAUACUAUCUUGCUAGAGAUUGGGAGAGGAAAGCGGAACUAACAGUGUAGCGGUGAAAUGCGUAGAUAUUGUUAGGAACACCCAUGGCGAAGGCAGCUUUCUGGACCAAUUCUGACACUGAGACGCGAGAGCGUGGGGAUCAAACAGG